GAACGCUAGCUACAGGCUUAACACAUGCAAGUCGAGGGGCAGCAUGAACUUAGCUUGCUAAGUUUGAUGGCGACCGGCGCACGGGUGAGUAACGCGUAUCCAACCUGCCCCAUAGUCAGGGACAGCCCGGCGAAAGUCGGAUUAAUACCAGAUGUUCUCCUUUGAUGGCAUCAGACGAGGAGCAAAGAUUCAUCGCUAUGGGAUGGGGAUGCGUAGGAUUAGGCAGCAGGCGGGUAACGGCCCACCUGGCCGACGAUCCUUAGGGGUUCUGAGAGGAAGGUCCCCCACACUGGUACUGAGACACGGACCAGACUCCUACGGGAGGCAGCAGUGAGGAAUAUUGGUCAAUGGGCGAGAGCCUGAACCAGCCAAGUAGCGUGCAGGAUGACGGCCCUAUGGGUUGUAAACUGCUUUUAUGAGGGGAUAACGUGCGCCACGCGUGGUGUAUUGCAGGUACCUCAUGAAUAAGGACCGGCUAAUUCCGUGCC
rnacentral:rRNA from 1 species